CUAUUGUGUCCGGUCGUCAUGGAUGAAGCAACCUGACACAUUGAUGAAAUGUCCUGUCGAUGAAGAUGCCUGUCAAAGCUACAUGUCGUGGGUCUCCCCGGUAUACUUCGUCAGCUUCGUCAUCAUGGCCCUGUUCAUGCGGGUUAACCUGGUGGUGGCGUUCAUUAGGAUGGUACUGUAGGAAAGCAACCAGUGAAAUCCUAUUAACUUCUGGCUCCCCCUGGAGGAGGAAAAUAACCAGGACACCGAGCUGGAGUUGACUUCUACAGGGGAGAGGGGUACAACAGGUCCAGCCGCGCCAUCGCAGACGAGUCCGGCGUCAGAUGAACACUCAGAGGAGUGUAAAAUGUGUCCAGUUUGUGGUUUAGAAGGCCUUUUAUAGGGACACACACCAGGAACUGUCAUUAAAAUCUGCAUUUCUAAUAGCAUCAUUAAGGCCGUGUUCACACUUGACUUGUCUGAUGAAAAAGGAUGACGCCUUUUCAAAAAGCACUGCGCCCGACGCAUUUUCAGUUAAAUUAUUUCAACUUUUCAGAAAAAACGCUGGGUGAUGUCAAGCGCCUUUCUGACAGCUGACCAAUCAGGACGAGUAGUAACCUACGUCCCUAGUUACCUGUGCCCAAAAACGGCAAACUUCCACCAGAUAUGUGUGCAUUGCGUGUCCGCUCUGGUCUGUUACGGCUCCGUGCAUCCUCAUCCAUCAACAUCCACCGGCUGCGUUCUCAGUCUACAGCACGGAGAGCACAGCUGGACAGCUGGAGUACGGAGACAAAGGAAUUUCCGCGGUUAUUUAACAGAUUCACUCGCGACAGCACGAGAUAAUACAAUGUUCGUGGUAUAAAAGUCAAUACAAACCUUAUAAACACAUAAACAAACACACAAACGGUGGUUUUUCUGAACCGUCAAAACGGAGGGUGUUAUUCUGAAA